ensembl:lncRNA
AUGUUCUCCAGUCAGAGAGCGAUCCGAGACAUUCUUCAUAGCCACGGCUUCCAGGUGUCAGAGACCAGCCUGGGACAGCUGCAUUUGCAGGGAACCUUUCUUAACUUAAAACGCAUCCACCCCAAACUCAUGCAUCUUCUGGCUCAAGAAAUUCACCCUCAAAGAAGAACACCUUCGCUAUACUCUAAUGGCUACUCAUCUGAGUCUGUCAUGAGAGCUGGCUCCAGUGACUAUGAAUCUAGAUCUCAUUCCACAUCGAGGCACAGUCACAGCAAUGGCCACUCAAUGUAUGCUGCGGGCAGAAACCCAUCUUCUGGAAUAAACUCAAGAUCCCCAGACAAGCAGGCACUCAUGCAGGCUGCCUCUCCACUGGAUGUUAGUUCAAACACAGAAAGUUACUUCAGCAGUCCCACCAGGAGCUAUGAGGAUUCCAGCACAAGCAUUCGGAAGCGGAAUCUCUCAUCUCCCAAACGGAAAACUGAGGAUUCCUUUCAUGUGGAUCCAGAUGUGUUUAAAUACAUAAUGCACUUUAAGGAAUUUUUUAUUAAAAAAAUUGAAUCAGAUUACCACACUAAGAUUAAUCAUGAAGAUGAUUCAGGGUUUGUUAAGGUUAAAGUCUUGGGAGGAGCCUGUGAGGAAGCAGCUAAAAAAAUGUCUAAAUUCAUGCAAGAGAUAAGCUUAUCUCUACGUACGCAUGAAAUAGACCUGAAAAAGCUUGACUCCAGUCAGCAGAGACACAUUUUCCAGAACACCAACUCAUUCCAAAAGAUCUACAGUGUUUUAAUUAGGCAGGAAAGUGACAUUAUUAAAGUGGUGGGGUCCUCUAAAGACAGUUAUGAAGCGAAGGAAAAGCUUCUUGGACGGGAGGUUGAAAAUGCUCCGCCAGGACACUUUCCAAAGAACAUUCUGCGACGCAGCAGGUCUUUGCCAAGAUCAAAAACAAGGUCCAGAGAGGAGAACAUAGACUUAGGACAAAGUCCUGAUGCUGUGGACACUACUCCUGUUAGUAGCUCCUCUGCCUCACAUUCCCGAAAGGACUCUCAGUUGCAGCAAGUACAACAGGAAAGAGGUCGCAAGCCCAUUAAAUCCUCUGCACCACGUGGCAGGGCACACAGCGCCUCUCGGUUACAACACAAAGAUCAAAGCAGAGUAAACCAAGAAGCAUCAAAUUCUGAUCAGCAGUAUUUGACACCCUCUGAUAAUGUUCAGACAUCUAAACAAAAAGCCCCUAAAAUAAGGCUUCCUCUUUUUCAAUCUGUUGAUAAAUUGUUUAAAAAUACAAAGUCACACUUUAAGAAAUGA